CAGUCGCCGCGGGAAUACGUAGGUGGCAAGCGUUGUCCGGAAUUAUUGGGCGUAAAGGGCUCGCAGGCGGUUUCUUAAGUCUGAUGUGAAAGCCCCCGGCUCAACCGGGGAGGGUCAUUGGAAACUGGGAAACUUGAGUGCAGAAGAGGAGAGUGGAAUUCCACGUGUAGCGGUGAAAUGCGAAGAGAUGUGGAGGAACACCAGUGGCGAAGGCGACUCUCUGGUCUGUAACUGACGCUGAGGAGCGAAAGCGUGGGGAGCGAACAGGAUUAGAUACCCCAGUAGUCCCUGUCUCUUAUAC
rnacentral:rRNA from 1 species